AUUGAACGCUGGCGGCAGGCCUAACACAUGCAAGUCGAGCGGAUGAAGGGAGCUUGCUCCUGGAUUCAGCGGCGGACGGGUGAGUAAUGCCUAGGAAUCUGCCUCGUAUUGGGGGAUAACGUCCGGAAACGGGCGCUAAUACCGCAUACGUCCUGAUGGAGAAAGUGGGGGAUCUUCGGACCUCACGCUCUCAGAUGAGCCUAGGUCGGAUUAGCUAGUUGGUGGGGUAAAGGCCUACCAAGGCGACGAUCCGUAACUGGUCUGAGAGGAUGAUCAGUCACACUGGAACUGAGACACGGUCCAGACUCCUACGGGAGGCAGCAGUGGGGAAUAUUGGACAAUGGGCGAAAGCCUGAUACAGCCAUGCCGCGUGUGUGAAGAAGGUCUUCGGAUUGUAAAGCACUUUAAGUUGGGAGGAAGGGCAGUAAGUUAAUACCUUGCUGUUUUGACGGUACCAACAGAAGAAGCACCGGCUAACUUCGUG
rnacentral:rRNA from 1 species